rnacentral:rRNA from 1 species
UACGUAGGGUCCGAGCGUUGUCCGGAAUUACUGGGCGUAAAGAGCUCGUAGGUGGUUUGUCGCGUUGUUCGUGAAAACUCACAGCUCAACUGUGGGCGUGCGGGCGAUACGGGCAGACUUGAGUACUGCAGGGGAGACUGGAAUUCCUGGUGUAGCGGUGGAAUGCGCAGAUAUCAGGAGGAACACCGAUUGCGAAGGCAGCUCGCUGGGACGUAACUGACGCUGAGACGCGAAAGCGUGGGGAGCAAACAGG